GGGGAAUUUUCGCAAUGGGGGCAACCCUGACGGAGCAACGCCGCGUGGGGGAGGAAUGUCUGUGGAUUGUAAACCCCUUUUCUCAGGGAAGAAGCUCUGACGGUACCUGAGGAAUCAGCAUCGGCUAACUCCGUGCCAGCAGCCGCGGUAAUACGGAGGAGGCAAGCGUUAUCCGGAAUGAUUGGGCGUAAAGCGUCCGCAGGUGGCCGUUCAAGUCUGCUGUCAAAACCAGGGGCUCAACUCCUGACCGGCAGUGGAAACUGAACAGCUAGAGUGCGGUAGGGGCAGAGGGAAUUCCCGGUGUAGCGGUGAAAUGCGUAGAGAUCGGGAAGAACACCGGUGGCGAAAGCGCUCUGCUGGGCCGCAACUGACACUCAGGGACGAAAGCUAGGGGAGCGAAUGGGAUUAGAUACCCCAGUAGUC
rnacentral:rRNA from 1 species